UGUAAGUGCAGUUCCUGCCAGGUAACUGUCGCUUAUCAGUUCUGGUCAACCAAAGCAGAAGUCCAAGUUAAAGUCAACCAUAACGAAGAAUUCAAGACCACAUGAAGACCAUGCAUUGAUCAAGGGGGAGUUGUUAAUGCACUUUGGGUGAAAAGUGCAUGCCUUCCGAUUGGUCUUUAUUGUACAUAUCUUGGAACUUAGUCCAAGGUUUAUCCUUGGACAAUUUGUCCAAGUUUUGGUCUAGAACUUUGGUCAGGGGUUUGGUUUUUGUGUAAAUUGUUUUGUCUGAGUUUUGUCCAUAGUCUAUAUAUAUGUGUUGUAUAGGAUUAGGGCAGAGAACAAGAACGACA
rnacentral:lncRNA from 1 species